rnacentral:rRNA from 1 species
UACGUAGGGUGCGAGCGUUAAUCGGAAUUACUGGGCGUAAAGCGUGCGUAGGCGGUUCGUUAAGUUCGUUGUGAAAGCCCCGGGCUCAACCUGGGAAUGGCAAUGGAAACUGGCGGGCUGGAGUAUGGCAGAGGGGGGUGGGAAUUCCACGUGUAGCAGUGAAAUGCGUAGAGAUGUGGAGGAACACCGAUGGCGAAGGCAGCCCCCUGGGCUGAGAUUGACGCUCAGGCACGAAAGCGUGGGGAGCAAACAGG